CUACGGGUGGCACCAGUGAGGAAUAUUGCACAAUGGAGGAAACUCUGAUGCAGCAACGCCACGUGGAGGAUGACGCAUUUCGGUGUGUAAACUCCUUUUAUAUGUCAAGAAAAUGACGGUAGCAUAUGAAUAAGCACCGGCUAACUCCGUGCCAGCAGCCGCGGUAAUACGGAGGGUGCAAGCGUUACUCGGAAUCACUGGGCGUAAAGGACGCGUAGGCGGGAUAUCAAGUCAGGUGUGAAAUCUUACAGCUUAACUGUAGAACUGCACUUGAAACUGGUAACCUAGAGUAUGGGAGGGGGAGAUGGAAUUAGUGGUGUAGGGGUAAAAUCCGUAGAUAUCACUAGGAAUACCUAAAGCGAAGGCGAUCUCCUGGAACAUAGCUGACGCUAAGGCGUGAAAGCGUGGGGAGCAAACAGGAUUAGAUACCCGGGUAGUC
rnacentral:rRNA from 1 species